AGAGCGAACGCUGGCGGCAGGCCUAACACAUGCAAGUCGAGCGCGUGUAGCAAUACACGAGCGGCAGACGGGAGAGUAACACGUGGGAACGCGCCCUUCGGUUCGGAAUAACUCAGGGAAACUUGAGCUAAUACCGGAUACGCCCUUACGGGGAAAGAUUUAUUGCCGAAGGAACGGCCCGCGUCCGAUUAGCUAGUUGGUGAGGUAACGGCUCACCAAGGCGACGAUCGGUAGCUGGUCUGAGAGGAUGACCAGCCUCACUGGGACUGAGACACGGCCCAGACUCCUACGGGAGGCAGCAGUGGGGAAUAUUGGACAAUGGGCGCAAGCCUGAUCCAGCCAUGCCGCGUGGAUGAUGAGGCCUUAGGGUUGUAAAGUCCUUUAACGGGAAGAUAAUGACGGUACCGUAGAAUAAGCCCCGGCUAACUUCGCGCCAGCAGCCGC
rnacentral:rRNA from 1 species